UAUACAUGAGAGUUUGAUCCUGGCUCAGGAUGAACGCUGGCGGCGUGCUUAACACAUGCAAGUCGAACGGAGCUUUGUUACGGAAUCUUCGGAAGAAGUGAUGAAGCUUAGUGGCGGACGGGUGAGUAACACGUGAGCAACCUACCUUUUGCAGGGGAAUAACUCUGGGAAACCAGAGCUAAUACCGCAUGACGUACACAUGAGGCAUCUUA
rnacentral:rRNA from 1 species